rnacentral:rRNA from 1 species
AUGGCUACGGUGUGCGCUGGACCCUGCGGCGCGUUGGAGCAUGGUGGCCGACAGCCGACAGAAAGAGUGAUCGAUACCUCCCCGUUAUUUACCUUUGAUCUUCCGUUUCCCGAUCUGGUUCUUCAUCCUUUUGUGUUUUUGUUGGAUGAAUCUAGUCAUUGGGUGCUGUUGCUCGCAGGCUGCGGCCAUGGAAGAUCCUGGAGGAAGAUUGACGCCAGCGGAUGCCGAUCUUGUACAGAGCAAUCGAGGAUCCCGUCCCACAGCGCUGACCUGACGGCCUACCCUGUCAGUAGCCUCGCUCAUGCGGGCGUUACAGUUCGUCUCGCCCGUCUAUACCAUGGGAUCGGAGGCCAGGACGCCAUUUCCAAAUUUCCAAGCAUGGUGGCUGGAGCGUGA